rnacentral:rRNA from 1 species
CCUACGGGAGGCAGCAGUAGGGAAUAUUGCUCAAUGGGGGAAACCCUGAAGCAGCAACGCCGCGUGGAGGAUGAAGGUUUUAGGAUUGUAAACUUCUUUUGUUAGAGAAGAUUAUGACGGUAUCUAACGAAUAAGCACCGGCUAACUCCGUGCCAGCAGCCGCGGUAAUACGGAGGGUGCAAGCGUUACUCGGAAUCACUGGGCGUAAAGAGUGCGUAGGCGGGGUAAUAAGUCAGAUGUGAAAUCCUGUAGCUUAACUACAGGACUGCAUUUGAAACUGUUACUCUGGAGUGUGGGAGAGGUAGGUGGAAUUCUUGGUGUAGGGGUAAAAUGCGUAGAGAUCAAGAGGAAUACUCAUUGCGAAGGCGACCUGCUGGAACAUUACUGACGCUGAUGCACGAAAGCGUGGGGAGCAAACAGGAUUAGAUACCCCAGUAGUC